rnacentral:rRNA from 1 species
GACGAACGCUGGCGGCGUGCUUAACACAUGCAAGUCGAACGGAAAGGCCCUGCUUUUGUGGGGUGCUCGAGUGGCGAACGGGUGAGUAACACGUGAGUAACCUGCCCUUGACUUUGGGAUAACUUCAGGAAACUGGGGCUAAUACCGGAUAGGAGCUCCUGCUGCAUGGUGGGGGUUGGAAAGUUUCGGCGGUUGGGGAUGGACUCGCGGCUUAUCAGCUUGUUGGUGGGGUAGUGGCUUACCAAGGCUUUGACGGGUAGCCGGCCUGAGAGGGUGACCGGCCACAUUGGGACUGAGAUACGGCCCAGACUCCUACGGGAGGCAGCAGUGGGGAAUAUUGCACAAUGGGCGGAAGCCUGAUGCAGCAACGCCGCGUGCGGGAUGACGGCCUUCGGGUUGUAAACCGCUUUCGCCUGUGACGAAGCGUGAGUGACGGUAAUGGGUAAAGAAGCACCGGCUAACUACGUGCCAGCAGCCGCGGUGAUACGUAGGGUGCGAGCGUUGUCCGGAUUUAUUGGGCGUAAAGGGCUCGUAGGUGGUUGAUCGCGUCGGAAGUGUAAUCUUGGGGCUUAACCCUGAGUGUGCUUUCGAUACGGGUUGACUUGAGGAAGGUAGGGGAGAAUGGAAUUCCUGGUGGAGCGGUGGAAUGCGCAGAUAUCAGGAGGAACACCAGUGGCGAAGGCGGUUCUCUGGGCCUUUCCUGACGCUGAGGAGCGAAAGCGUGGGGAGCGAACAGGCUUAGAUACCCUGGUAGUCCACGCUGUAAACGGUGGGUACUAGGUGUGGGGUCCAUUCCACGGGUUCCGUGCCGUAGCUAACGCUUUAAGUACCCCGCCUGGGGAGUACGGCCGCACGGCUAAAACUCAAAGGAAUUGACGGGGCCCCGCACAAGCGGCGGAGCAUGCGGAUUAAUUCGAUGCAACGCGUAGAACCUUACCUGGGUUUGACAUGGAUCGGGAGUGCUCAGAGAUGGGUGUGCCUCUUUUGGGGUCGGUUCACAGGUGGUGCAUGGCUGUCGUCAGCUCGUGUCGUGAGAUGUUGGGUUAAGUCCCGCAACGAGCGCAACCCUUGUUCACUGUUGCCAGCACGUUAUGGUGGGGACUCAGUGGAGACCGCCGGGGUCAACUCGGAGGAAGGUGGGGAUGACGUCAAGUCAUCAUGCCCCUUAUGUCCAGGGCUUCACGCAUGCUACAAUGGCUGGUACAGAGAGUGGCGAGCCUGUGAGGGUGAGCGAAUCUCGGAAAGCCGGUCUCAGUUCGGAUUGGGGUCUGCAACUCGACCUCAUGAAGUCGGAGUCGCUAGUAAUCGCAGAUCAGCAACGCUGCGGUGAAUACGUUCCCGGGGCU